CGUUCAGCGCGGGGUAGAGCAGUUUGGUAGCUCGCAAGGCUCAUAACCUUGAGGUCACGGGUUCAAAUCCUGUCUCCGCAA
rnacentral:tRNA from 1 species